CAUCCUUUAAAAGAAAGCGUAAUAGCUCACUGAUCGAGUCGUCCUGCGCGGAAGAUGUAACGGGGCUAAGCCAUAGACCGAAGCUGCGGAUGUGUACUUUAGUACACAUGGUAGGAGAGCGUUCCGUAAGCCUGUGAAGGUGUUCCGUGAGGAAUGCUGGAGGUAUCGGAAGUGAGAAUGCUGACAUGAGUAGCGAUAAAGGGGGUGAAAAGCCCCCUCGCCGUAAGUCCAAGGUUUCCUGCGCAACGUUCAUCGGCGCAGGGUGAGUCGGCCCCUAAGGCGAGGCAGAGAUGCGUAGCUGAUGGGAAGCGGGUUAAUAUUCCCGCACCGUCGUAGAGUGCGAUGGGGGGGACGGAUUGCAGAAUGUUAUCGGGGUGUUGGAUGUCCCCGUUGGCGCAUCAUAGAAGGCACUUAGGCAAAUCCGGGUGCGUAAUUCAAGGGUGUGACUGGAUAGAGCUUCGGCUCUAAACUAACUGGAAGCAGUUCCAAGAAAAGCCUCUAAGCUUCAGCUCUACGAG
rnacentral:rRNA from 1 species